AAGGUGGGUUAGCAAUUUGCAUAUGCAUUAACAACACUGCUCAUGGGACCGCCUUUUGAGUUUGCUUAUAAAACAGGAUGACUUUUUACCAGUUCUAGAGAUCUUGACAACUGAUGAAGAGCUGGUGCCAAGCCUACCAACGAAUCCACAAACACAGGAGCAAGUGCGGAUCAACCCUGCCGAGGAGAGCACAAGCUUAUCGACACCUACACUUAUUUGGCCAGAAGAACCAGAAAAAACUUUUGAAGAGGAGAAAAAAUCCCAUCUAAAACUCAACAAACAAAAAAAGGAAACUUUUUAGCGAAUCAGGUACUGAGAACCACGUGGCAGAGAGGGCCUUGGGUGAAACGGUGGUGAAACAGAUCACAGCACAAAAAUCCACACCGAUUGAAGAGUGCGCAACAGCUGAGGAAAGCAACCAACAGGCCCGAGAAUCACACCUCCAGGAGCAACCAGCUGAGGAAGCCCCUGGACACAGAGAGGACGGCAGUGCUGAGGAAAGCACCCAACAGGCCCGAGAAUCACACCUCCAGGAGAAACCAGCUGAGGAAGCCCCUGGACACAGAGAGGACGGCAGUGCUGAGGAAAGCACCCAACAGGCCCGAGAAUCACACCUCCAGGAGCAACCAGCGGUCAAAACAAUUCUCAAGAAGCCAGAGGACACCCGAAAGACGGCCCUUUAAGUUCCGUUUGCUCUUUCUCCAGUCCCUGUCUUCCGCCCCCGCUUCGUCAGCCCUGCUCCCCUGUCCUGGACCCCGCUCGGCUCACUUCCCCCUUGGAUUCUACUCCGGAUCUGCUCAGCUCGGUUCCCCAGCUCUGUGUUCCACUCUGCUCAGCUCCUCCUUGGAUUUCUCUCCAGAUCUGCUCGGCUCGGCCCCCCAGCUCUCCCUCUGCAUUCACCCCUGCCUCCAUGGCCAGCUGCUAGCCCGGCUCCCCAUUCUUCCAGCUAUCUUCCCAGCUCUGCCCACUCCCUGGCUGUCCAUUGUCUGUUCCCUCUACCCCUAAUAAAUACUCUGCUUUACCUUAA